AUGCACACACAUCUUACUUCUUUAAUAGCUGGGAAGGACCAAGUAACCUGCAACGAAGGCCACUCGCAGCCAUGGCAGCGACCUCCUGUGUUGCAGGCUUGGGAUCGCCUCUCUCCCUCGCACGCCCUUCGUCAAAGCCUUCCCUUGCCUCCGGUACAACCACUGCUCAUGGCCUUUCGCUAUCUUGGAUAGAUCUAACCAUGGAUUCAACAGGUUUCAUCGGGACUCGGGGGGCCGCAAGGAACCCUCUGAAGCUGAAGCUCGCUUCGGGUGGAAGGUUCACCUGGUAAGGAUCACACUAUCCCCACCUUUGAGGACUGCAGAUGGAUGUUUACGUGUGAUUUGUCCUUGUGCAUGGCUGUGGGAGAAGCUUCGAGAGGAAUUGGCUGCGCACCGACCUCAACGUGAUCGGGUUCGGUUUGAUCGGGUGGCUCGCGCCGUCGAGCAUUCCGGCGAUCGGUGGGAAGAGCUUGACGGGGCUCUUCUUCGAGAGCAUCGGCACUGAGCUGGCUCACUGGCCGACAGGCCCAGCUCUCACAUCGCAGUU
rnacentral:lncRNA from 1 species